rnacentral:rRNA from 1 species
GACGAAGGGGGGCUAGCGUUGUUCGGAAUUACUGGGCGUAAAGCGCGUGUAGGCGGUUGUUCAAGUCAGGUGUGAAAGCCUUGAGCUCAACUCAAGAAAUGCACUUGAUACUGGAUGACUAGAGGACCGGAGAGGAUAGUGGAAUUCCCAGUGUAGUGGUGAAAUGCGUAGAGAUCGGGAGGAACACCAGUGGCGAAGGCGGCUGCUGGGCCGGACCUGACGCUGAGACGCGAAGGCGUGGGGAGCGAACGGG